UGGCGGCAUGCCUAACACAUGCAAGUCGAACGGCUCUUCGGAGCAGUGGCGCACGGGUGAGUAACGCGUGGGAAUCUACCCUGAGGUUCGGAAUAACGGUUGGAAACGACCGCUAAUACCGGAUGUGCCCUAUGGGGCAAAGGCUUGCCGCCUUGGGAGGAGCCCGCGUCCGAUUAGCUUGUUGGUGGGGUAACGGCCUACCAAGGCGACGAUCGGUAGCUGGUCUGAGAGGAUGAUCAGCCACACUGGGACUGAGACACGGCCCAGACUCC
rnacentral:rRNA from 2 species